rnacentral:rRNA from 1 species
GCAUAUCAAUAAGCGGAGGGAAAAGAAACCAACAGGGAUUGCCCUAGUAACGGCGAGUGAAGCGGCAACAGCUCAAAUUUGAAAUCUGCCUUCGGGCCGAGUUGUAAUUUGUAGAGGAAGCUUUUGGUGAGGCACCUUCUGAGUCCCCUGGAACGGGGCGCCAUAGAGGGUGAGAGCCCCGUAUAGUCGGAUGCCGAUCCAAUGUAAAGCUCCUUCGACGAGUCGAGUAGUUUGGGAAUGCUGCUCAAAAUGGGAGGUAAAUUUCUUCUAAAGCUAAAUACCGGCCAGAGACCGAUAGCGCACAAGUAGAGUGAUCGAAAGAUGAAAAGCACCUUGAAAAGGGGGUUAAAUAGCACGUGAAAUUGUUGAAAGGGAAGCGUUUGCGGCCAGACUUGCGCCGCUCCGAUCAUCCGGUGUUCUCACCGGUGCACUCGGGGCGGCGCAGGCCAGCAUCGGUUUCGGCGGGGGGACAAAGGUCCAGGGAACGUAGCUCCUUCGGGAGUGUUAUAGCCCUGGGCGUAAUGCCCUCGCCGGGACCGAGGUUCGCGCAUCUGCAAGGAUGCUGGCGUAAUGGCCGCCAACGACCCGUCUUGAAACACGGACCAAGGAGUCAAGGUUUUGCGCGAGUGUUUGGGUGUAAAACCCGCACGCGUAAUGAAAGUGAACGUAGGUGAGAGCUUCGGCGCAUCAUCGACCGAUCCUGAUGUAUUCGGAUGGAUUUGAGUAAGAGCGUUAAGCCUUGGACCCGAAAGAUGGUGAACUAUGCUUGGAUAGGGUGAAGCCAGAGGAAACUCUGGUGGAGGCUCGCAGCGGUUCUGACGUGCAAAUCGAUCGUCAAAUCUGAGCAUGGGGCGAAAGACUAAUCGAACCAUCUAGUAGCUGGUUACCGCCGAU